UGCAGUUGGGGAUUCGGUGCUUUGCUAAAGGGCAGAGCCAAGUGGGUGAACAUGUCCCUCUCCAGCUACCACUUCAACAUCCAAACCUGGUCUGUGUUUGAAUGAGGAUCAAUGACCCUCAAGUUCUCAUCAGAGGUCCCCAUGGACCAAGUUACUGCCGCUACUCUACUGGGUAAGAUAAUCAGAGACUAUUUAUAAGACUGUAGUGGGUAAAAUUCUCUGCCAGCAAAAAAAACUAUCAAGAGACUUUUAUCACAAAGUUGAACAAAGAUUUUGCUGGCUUACAACAAAUUUUUUUUUACACGUUAUAACUUUUUGGCAUGGAAUAUAUUGAAUUAAAGACAACUGAUAACACUUGAACCCUACUGUAUAAAAAUAAAGAACAAAUAAGUAAUUAAUCAUAAACCUGCUACAUUUCAACAUUUUUAAAAAGUAAAAUCUAAUUUGGUUCUCUAAGUAAAAGAUUAAAAAAAGUUAAGUAAAAAAAAACUGACAUUAAAAGUUUCUGCUUUCUGAUCUUAAAUCAUCAGUUUGACAAUCAUAUUUACAGUGUUUGUUGUUGUACAGUAGAGUCAGUUGGCUGGGGGCAAAUGAUCACUUCUUGAUCUGUAAACUUCUCACCAUCGAGCAUUUUUUAAAGAGAUGUUAUUAUGUUUUUUUCAUAUUUUGACAACAAAUGUUAAGUAAAAAUGUUGGACGUCAGUACAAAAUAUGAGCAAAGUUUCAGACUGUGAGGUUAAUGCGUGACGGAGUAUUAACGUCACACGAGAAUUCAGUGAGAUCUAUGUGAGAUUUGAUCAGAUUGUGACAUCACCAGAGAGUAAUGCUGCGUUCGAGUUACCGCGGAAGUCAGAUGUCUGAGCUGGUAAUGACGUCACACCUGAGUUACCAGCGUUUCAAUUACCAAAUCGGAGGUGGAAACAAGAUGGCUACAUCUACAAAAGUUAUUGUAGCACUUGCCUUGUCCUUGCUUAUAUUCGGACAAGGCAAGCGCUAAAAUAACUUUCGUAGAUGUAGCCAUCUUGUUUGCUUUCUUUCGACUUGGUAACUAAAACGCUGGUAACUUGGGUAUGACGUCAUUCCCAGCUCAGACAUCUGACUUCUGAGGUAACUCAACUGCAGCAUAAGUCUCAUUGAAAGGCCAAAUUUGUCAUUUUAUGAAAAGAAACACAACUUUAUUGCAGCUUCUGGAAUACUGGGUUCUGUAAUGCUAGGGGGGCACAAAGGGACAGAGGUGUCUCAGACUGAAGCUGAAAUGAGGGUUUUUAAAGACAGAAGCCUUAAAAUAAAAAGAGAGAAACAAUCCGCACACUUCUGGUCUGUUGCAAAAAGAGCUUUACUGAAGCAAGCUUUCGGUCUGUUAGACCUUCAAAGACAGAAGCCUGAAAUGUUUUUUAAGACUUUGUUGAACUGGUUAUCAUGUAAAACUACUAAGAAGCGAUCAGAGGGACAACAUAAAGGCAAAAUGCUAAACAUAAUUCCUCCUCUUUAAGGUUGUUCAGUGAAAUAAUGUAGUCUAAAACAUUAAAGCAUAAGGGACUUGAUUGAAUACUUUUUCAUCAAGUCCCUUGCAGCUCAACCACAUCGAUUUACACAGUACACAACAGGUGAUUGUUGACUUUACUCUGGUUUGGCCACAUAACUGGAGUGUUUCAGGUAGACAAAGUUUGUGUUUGGUUCUGCAUUAUGUGGUAAAACCAGUCCGGCUGCUGUGUGGGCUGCCUACCAUUGUGUUACACAGAUUGGAUUGCAUCACAAGCGUGGUUCAAAGGUAGGUGUGGAUCCUUAUGAGCAAAGUAAGAGACAUGAACACAGUUACCCAAGAACUGCAAAAGGCCACUAAAGCUGUGUGUCUGUGUGUGUGUGUAGCUAUUCUGAUCCCUGUGUAUGGAGUAGUCUUUUUCUGAUUUAAAGCUCUUUUGGACUUUGACCUGACUGGGACACAGUGGUUACACUCUAAUAAGGAAUUCAGAGCAGGAAGGGUUCACAGUGGGUGAAUGACAGAACGAAAGGAGGGAGAGAAGGAGAAGAGGGAGGGACUCUGCGGUGCUUCAGUUUUCCCGUAAGUCAAACACCUCUCGGCAGUAUUGUCUAAGUGCGCUGCUGAACAACCUGGGAAGGAGAGAAACACCACAGAGAUUUACUUACACCAGAAAACCACACACAGUAAGUAGCCAACACAAUCCUAUAUAUCUGUGGUGUAACUUGACACAGUUUCUAAUGUUGUAUUAACACAAUCUUAUCUUUUCUGUUGUUGUUCUGGUGUCACAUACACCUCUUUUACCUUAUCUCUCUUCUUCUACAGGCCUUAUAAAGAGGGAAAAAACAAAGAAAGGCACUGAUUGUUUGUGAAGAGCCUCAUCUACAUCUAGAAUUGCAUCAAGUUCAUCUCCAACCAAAAGUCAAGAUGGGGUAGAAGAC